AGCAACUAUCACCAAGGCCAGCGCUUCAUUGUUGCUGAGGCAAAGCUCUGCGUGCUGCAUUGGCCGUCUUCAGAUUCAUCUGCACGCUUUGCAUUACUCUAUAGAUUUGACUAAAUGCAUCUGAUAUUCAGGUAUGUUAGAGACAUACACAUGCACUAAAUGGCAUAAAUAAUGAUUAAAAACCAUUUGCCAUUUGAAUGAUCAAAUGCAUAGGUGUGAAAGAAGAUGCUUUAAAGAAGACGCCAGCCUAUAGAACAGAUGAACUUAUAUACAGUGGAAAGAGAGGGCGGGACUUUUACACAAGUAAAAUUUGCUUGACGUCAUUUUUACACAAUAUCCUUGAAUAGCACCUGUGUGCAGGGGGGUUGUCUGUCUGUCAGCUUUGAGUAAAAAACAUAACCCAUGUCUGCAAAACCUACCCAUUAGUAUCCACCACUGACCAGAGACGCAGAGCUUUCCUCGCGCCCGGGGCCCUUCAGGACCGGCCGUUUUUUCAAGAGAGAAGACUCCUCGGGAAGCAUUGGUCCUACAGUCUUUCCUAAGCGAACCUGUAGUUUUGUUUCCUAUUUUCAGCUAAAGCACCUUGGAGUUUGUAGCAGUACUCCAUUCAUCUGGCCUCUGUUUUAUUUUCAAGUGCUGCAGAGACUCCAAUUAUCAGCGGGAGCCUUAUUUUUCCUCUUUUUCUUUGCCUAUUUUUCUUUCUUUUUCGUCAAAGGCAAGCCCUUUCGACUAUAAACUGGUCCCUUUGAGAGACGCACAAUGGCUGUUCGUGGUCACCAGCUAUUAAGGACUUUGAAUGCAUAUUUCAGAACAUAUGGACCAAGGAAAUGUAGAUUAAUUAGACAGAAGAGAUCUGUUGUACAUCAUGUACAUCAUUCUGAUCAUUGAUUCAUGCUCAAAUGGGACAGUGACUGCAGUCUGCAGGCCAGGUGUUGCAUUGACCGAAAGAAGCGGCGAAUAAAAUCAUGACUAAUGAGUUUGUGAAUUUCUCUUAUUCUGUAAGCUCAGAUGUCUCCAGUGGUAAUGCAUGCCUCUUUUAGUUGAUUAAUAUCUGAUUUUUCAUUUUUGACUUUUUAUUAAAAAAAAUAAAACCAGCUUUUUCUGUGAUUAGUCAGAGAAGUCCAUUGCCGUGUGGAAGACUAGUGAUUUUGUUGUUUUUAUUAUCUUAGAAGACAACAAAUCAUAGUCUUCCUCAGGGCUCUGAGAUGAAUGCCUUCAAUGCACAGAGAAAAUAAGCAGAGUUUAUUUAUUUACACUGCCCUCUGCUGCCAAAUGAAAUGACCGACAUGAACUGAGGAUAUUCAUUUGGAAAUAAAUGUACCUAAAUUUGCUUGUGUGGUUAUUCAGAUGUAUGUGGGUUAUUGUGAAUGUGUGUUUUAUUUAGGAUAGCUUAACUGACACCUGUAAGUGUUUCUGUAUUUUUUUAUUUUUUCUUAUUGUGAUGCAGCUGCCUCGGUUUAUUGGCAUAAAAUAUUGUUUUGAAUUAAGAAGAGAGCUGGUUAGAGAAAUUGGCAGACCUGAGCUCCUCUGAAAUCUUUUUGUCAUUCUUUGUCAUUUUUAGGCAUUGGAUGUGAAAUUGAGAUUAACCAGAUCAAUUAAAAUGACAAAAUGAUGGUGAUCAUUUUUCACAAGUUCUGCUAUAAAAUAAUAAUAAUAAUAAUAAUAAUAAUAAUAAUAAUAAUAAUAAUAAUAAUAAUAAUAAUAAUAACAAUAAAUAAUUUUAAAAAAGUGAACAUUUCAGACACAAUACGGCCAUUUUAGGUUAUUUUUGCUCCACCUAUUAAAUAAAUAAUUUAGGAGUUGUAUAAAAUAUAUUUGUUAAAUUGCCCUUAAAUCAUUAAAUCUUAAUUCUUUAAUUAAAAACAAACCUGAUCAUAUUAAUGUAUCACUGGUCCUUGAGAUAUGGCACUGAAAUUUAAAUGUCCCACAAUUUUUAAAAUAGCAUUUCUACUUUUAAUUCAGUUAGAGAUAAUGACUAGAAAGUUCCAAACACAAAUGUAGUAUUUCAUUUAAUUUUGUUUCUUUAUUUUUUUAUUUUUUAAAGUAUGACAUUAAAUAUAGAUUAAAAAACAUAAAUCUAUGGGGGGGGGUAUAUUUUUUAAAGGAACGUUACUACUAUAAUAUAUUUUAUAGGAAUUUUUAUUAGGUUUCUCAGCUGUUUCACUUUCAAACACAUUUAAAGUUUCAGGAAAAUUAAAGAUGGUUUGAAUUAAAUAAUUUUAGAUUU